rnacentral:rRNA from 1 species
AAUCAACGCUGGCGGCGUGCCUAAUACAUGCAAGACGAACGGUAACAGGCCGCAAGGUGCUGACGAGUGGCGAACGGGUGAGUAAUGCAUCGGAACGUGCCCAGUCGUGGGGGAUAACGCAGCGAAAGCUGCGCUAAUACCGCAUACGAUCUCUGGAUGAAAGCGGGGGACCGAAAGGCCUCGAGCGAUUGGAGCGGCCGAUGUCAGAUUAGGUAGCUGGUGGGGUAAAGGCCCACCAAGCCAACGAUCGGUAGCUGGUCUGGGAGGACGACCGACAACCCUGGGACUAAGGCACGGCCCAGACUCCGACGGGAGGCAGCAGUGGGGAAUUUUGGACAAUGGGCGCAAGCCUGAUCCAGCAAUGCCGCGUGCAGGAAGAAGGCCUUCGGGUUGUAAACUGCUUUUGUACGGAACGAAACGGUCCGGGUUAAUACCCUGGGCUAAUGACGGUACCGUAAGAGUAAGCACCGGCUAACUACGUGCCAGCCGCCGCAGUAAUAC